rnacentral:rRNA from 1 species
UACGUAGGGUGCGAGCGUUAAUCGGAAUUACUGGGCGUAAAGCGUGCGCAGGCGGUUCGCUAAGACCGAUGUGAAAUCCCCGGGCUUAACCUGGGAACUGCAUUGGUGACUGGCGAGCUAGAGUGUGGCAGAGGGGGGUAGAAUUCCGCGUGUAGCAGUGAAAUGCGUAGAGAUGCGGAGGAACACCGAUGGCGAAGGCAGCCCCCUGGGCUAGCACUGACGCUCAGGCACGAAAGCGUGGGGAGCAAACAGG